GCAACAUUUUAAUUAUUUAUUUUAAUCGAAAAAUAAAUAAUUAAAUUACUUAUUUAACACUCCGCUAGAUGGAGCGCAACAACGAAUAUACUUGUCAUUUUUUGACAACUUCGUAUUUCUGCGAUUCCCUAACGGGUUUUUCAUUUUGGGGCCCCCACGGUGGUUAAAUAAAUCGAAGCCUCCGAUUCGGAUGUGAUACGAAAUUCUCCACCUUCGCAAUGAUCAUUUUGCAAUUAGACGAGCAACCGAUGCUCAUCCAAGCCGUUUUCGGCGAAAUAGACACGGUUAGGAAACUGUUCGAAUCAAAAAGAUCAAACUGGACAAUUAAAAUACAUACAUUAAUAAAAAAUUUGAAGAAUAUAAAAGGAUGUAUGAUGAAGAAAAAUUGUGACAGUUAAGGUAGGAUCUUUUUAGAGCUAAAGAUAGAUUUGAGGAGUUAGAAAAACAGAACCGAGAGUAAAUACGUUUUUAACAAACAAAUUAAGGAGUGAGGAAAUAUUAUCAAAUGGAAAUUUUAUGAAUUCAAAGUAAUAACCAUCGUAAGUGUUAAAAUUAUUAUUUUUUUAUACAAAAAUUGUAUUUUGUUAUAAAAUUUAUAAUAUAAAAGUUAUUAAAUCUUU